UUGCGUCACACCGGUGAAGUCGC
rnacentral:misc_RNA from 1 species